AGUGAACGCUGGCGGUAGGCCUAACACAUGCAAGUCGAACGGCAGCACAGUAAGAGCUUGCUCUUACGGGUGGCGAGUGGCGGACGGGUGAGGAAUACAUCGGAAUCUACUUUUUCGUGGGUGAUAACGUAGGGAAACUUACGCUAAUACCGCAUACGACCUACGAGUGAAAGCAUGGGAUCUUCGGACCUUGCGCGAUUGAAUGAGCCGAUGUCGGAUUAGCUAGUUGGCGGGGUAAAGGCCCACCAAGGCGACGAUCCGUAGCUGGUCUGAGAGGAUGAUCAGCCACACUGGAACUGAGACACGGUCCAGACUCCUACGGGAGGCAGCAGUGGGGAAUAUUGGACAAUGGGCGCAAGCCUGAUCCAGCCAUACCGCGUGGGUGAAGAAGGCCUUCGGGUUGUAAAGCCCUUUUGUUGGGAAAGAAAAGCAGCAGGUUAAUACCCCGCUGUUCUGACGGUACCCAAAGAAUAAGCACCGGCUAACUUCGUG
rnacentral:rRNA from 1 species